rnacentral:rRNA from 1 species
ACGAACGCUGGCGGCAUGCCUAACACAUGCAAGUCGAACGAGACCUUUGGGUCUAGUGGCGCACGGGUGCGUAACGCGUGGGAACCUGCCCUUAGGUUCGGAAUAACUCCCCGAAAGGGGUGCUAAUACCGGAUAAUGUCUUCGGACCAAAGAUUUAUCGCCUUUGGAUGGGCCCGCGUUGGAUUAGCUAGUUGGUAGGGUAAAAGCCUACCAAGGCGACGAUCCAUAGCUGGUCUGAGAGGAUGAUCAGCCACACUGGGACUGAGACACGGCCCAGACUCCUACGGGAGGCAGCAGUGGGGAAUAUUGGACAAUGGGCGAAAGCCUGAUCCAGCAAUGCCGCGUGAGUGAUGAAGGCCUUAGGGUUGUAAAGCUCUUUUACCCGGGAUGAUAAUGACAGUACCGGGAGAAUAAGCUCCGGCUAACUCCGUG